UAGGGAAUCUUCGGCAAUGGACGAAAGUCUGACCGAGCAACGCCGCGUGAGUGAAGAAGGUUUUCGGAUCGUAAAACUCUCUUGUUAGAGAAGAACAAGGACGUUAGUAACUGAACGUCCCCUGACGGUAUCUAACCAGAAAGCCACCGCUAACUACGUGCCAGCAGCCGCGGUAAUACGUAGGUGGCAAGCGUUUUCCGGAUUUAUUGGGCGUAAAGCGAGCGCAGGCGGUUUCUUAAGUCUGAUGUGAAAGCCCCUGGCUCAACCGGGGAGGGUCAUUGGAAACUAGGAGAAUUGAGUGCAGAAGAGGAGAGUAGAAUUCCAUGUGUAGCGCUGAAAUGCGUAGAUAUAUGGAGGAACACCAGUAGCGAAGGCGGCUCUCUGGUCUUUAACUGACGCUGAGGCUCGAAAGCGUGGGGAGCAAACAGG
rnacentral:rRNA from 1 species